GUGUCAGCAGCCGCGGUAAUACGGAGGGUGCAAGCGUUGUUCGGAAUUACUGGGCGUAAAGCGCGUGUAGGCGGUUUGGUAAGUCAGAUGUGAAAGCCCUGGGCUCAACCCAGGAAGUGCAUUUGAAACUGCCUUACUCGAGUAUGGGAGAGGAGAGUGGAAUUCCCAGUGUAGAGGUGAAAUUCGUAGAUAUUGGGAGGAACACCCGUGGCGAAGGCGACUCUCUGGACCAAUACUGACGCUGAGACGCGAAAGCGUGGGGAGCAAACAGGAUUAGAAACCCUUGUAGUCC
rnacentral:rRNA from 1 species